UGGCUGUAUAUGUACCCAACGAAUUAGCCUGACUUUUUGUUAACAGGAACAGGCAGGAGAAUGUGACUGCUGGCAGUGUGCAUCACAUCCUUACAGCUAGCAUCAAGGAAGACAGAAAUUGUUCUCUUCCCCAAAACUGUCUGAGAAAUCUUUGGGGAAGGACCCUGGCCUGGCCGGGAUUGUGCAUCUUACCCUGAUGUGAAGCUCUGAGGCUUGAGUUGGGGAGGCUGUGCUUAACUCAGCCCACCUGUGUUCAAAGGGACAGGGUUUGUAUCCAGGUGAAGGUGCGAUGUCAGGAAGCCAGGUUAGUUUGCAAAACGUUACCUAUUUCUGCAGAAAAAGCUGGGGACUUGCUAUUGUUUCCCUUGUAUCACCUCUGUUAUUCCUGCAGUAUUUUGGCCCUGGCUUCCUCAGAGAGGUGAGCCCUUGGUAACUUUGUUCCAGCCUUUAAAACCAGAUACCCAUCCAUUCCUUUGGACAAGGUCCAAUCUCAGUGAGCCUUGGCCUUUCUAACCUAAUCAUGGCAAAUGUCUUUCUGACCUAAUUUUAACACUCCAUUUCUGUUCCAGAGCAUCCUGCCUCCUGACUCCUUCGACGUUUACUCAGAAUUCUCACCCUGAACUGGACUUUUGGACUCAACAACAAAAGGAUCUUCUUUCUACUCUUCAUAAGAGCUGAGAAGUCUGGAAUUCUCCACCUCAAAUCUACUGUUAGAAAGGGUUGCAGGUUUUAAAAAGGGCAAAUGCCUCAGGAAAAGUCUGGCUCUGAGAAGAGAGGGGCAGAUACAUGGCCUCCAGAAGUCACGGAGGAAAUGCAGGAAUAACAGCUUCGUGAUGAGAAAAGGAGCAAGACUGGCUGUGAAGAAGCCUGAGGGGGAGAGGAACCAAUUUGGGGAUAAAGUGAAAGUUUGGCGACCAUUAUCCGGUGGCGAAGGAAAGGCUAUUUCUGGUUUUAGGUGUCACACUGGGCUAUACCUUAAGCAAGAUACAUAAAGAAGAGAGGCAGGAGCUGAGGAGGAGUAGCAAUUGGUCAGCUAAAGAAGAUCUAUUAGGGACCUCUGAAGAAUUCACAAUUGUGUGCUCAGGAAAAAAGUCAGCUUUGGUCAUUCAUCACACCAC
rnacentral:lncRNA from 1 species